CCCCGAUUCCUGCAGACACCGCCUAAUUUUAUUUUAAGUUAUAUCCGUCAUUUUCGUGUCCGUCGAAAAGGAAAGGGACGGAUGAUUCACAGCUCUUAAUUUUAGGAAGAAUGAGUAAAUUAAUG